AGCCCCGUCGUCUAGCGGCUAAAUCCAAAAGAAUUUGAGAGGCUUAGGAUAGCAGGCUUUGGACCUGUUGACAGCGGUUCGAAUCCGCUCGGGGCUA
rnacentral:tRNA from 1 species